AUUGAACGCUGGCGGCAGGCCUAACACAUGCAAGUCGCACGAGUGGCGGACGGGAGAGUAAUGUCUGGGAAACUGCCUGCUGGAGGGGGAUAACUACUGGAAACGGUAGCUACUACCUCCUACCAGCAGAUGUGCCCUGAUGGGAUUAGCUUGUUGGUGGGGUAACGGAUCACCAAUGCGACGAUCCCUAGCUGGUCUGAGAGGAUGACCAGCCACACUGGAACUGAGACACGGUCCAGACUCCUACGGGAGGCAGCAGUGGGGAAUAUUGCACAAUGGGCGCAAGCCUGAUGCAGACAUGCCGCGUGUAUGAAGAAGGCUUUCGGGUUGUAAAGUACUUUCAGCGGGGAGGCGUUACCCGCAGAAGAAGCACCGGCUAACUCCGUGCCAGAAGCCGCGGUAAUAC
rnacentral:rRNA from 1 species